AGGACGAACGCUGGCGGCGUGCUUAACACAUGCAAGUCGAGCGGAAAGGCCCUUCGGGGUACUCGAGCGGCGAACGGGUGAGUAACACGUGAGCAACCUGCCCUUAGCUCUGGGAUAGCUCCGGGAAACCGGAAUUAAUACCGGAUACGACCUAGGCCGACAUCGGCCAUGGUGGAAAGUUUUUCGGCUAGGGAUGGACUCGCGGCCUAUCAGCUAGUUGGUGGGGUAAAGGCCUACCAAGGCGACGACGGGUAGCCGGCCUGAGAGGGCGACCGGCCACACUGGGACUGAGACACGGCCCAGACUCCUACGGGAGGCAGCAGUGGGGAAUCUUGCGCAAUGGGCGAAAGCCUGACGCAGCGACGCCGCGUGGGGGAUGAAGGCCUUCGGGUUGUAAACCCUUUCAGCAGGGACGAAGCGAAAGUGACGGUACCUGCAGAAGAAGCGCCGGCUAACUACGCGCCAGCAGCGC
rnacentral:rRNA from 1 species